AUUGAACGCUGGCGGCAGGCCUAACCCAUGCAAGUCGAACGAGUGGCGGCCGGGUGAGUAACGUCUGCGACACUGCCUGAUGGAGGGGUAUCACUACUGGAAACGGUCACUCAUACCGCUUACCAUCGGAUGUGCCCAGAUGGGAGUGGCUAGUAGGUGGGGUAAAGGCUCACCUAGGCUACGAUCCCUAGCUGGUCUGAGAGGAUGACCAGCCACACUGGAACUGAGACACGGUCCAGACUGGUACGGGAGGCAGCAGUGGGGAAGAUUGGACAAGGGGGGAAAGCCUGAUGCAGCCAUGCCGCGUGUAUGAAGAAGGCCUUCGGGUUGGAAAGUACUUUCAGCGGGGAGGCGUUACCCGCAGAAGAAGCACCGGCUAACUCCGUGCCAGCAGCCGCGGUAAUAC
rnacentral:rRNA from 1 species